rnacentral:misc_RNA from 1 species
AAGUCGUAACAAGGUAUCCGUAGGUGAACCUGCGGAUGGAUCAUUACUAAAGGACCUAUCCAACGUCCUGUGAACUGUUUUGAAAUUUUUGUCAGCGGUCUUCACCGGCUGCUGGCAUACCAUAAAUGUAUAACCUAAACUGAAAUCUACUAGUAAGAACUAAGAGAACUUUUAGCAACGGAUCUCUUGGCUCUC